rnacentral:rRNA from 1 species
GGAAGUAAAAGUCGUAACAAGGUCUCCGUUGGUGAACCAGCGGAGGGAUCAUUACCGAGUUUACAACUCCCAAACCCCUGUGAACAUACCACUUGUUGCCUCGGCGGAUCAGCCCGCUCCCGGUAAAACGGGACGGCCCGCCAGAGGACCCCUAAACUCUGUUUCUAUAUGUAACUUCUGAGUAAAACCAUAAAUAAAUCAAAACUUUCAACAACGGAUCUCUUGGUUCUGGCAUCGAUGAAGAACGCAGCAAAAUGCGAUAAGUAAUGUGAAUUGCAGAAUUCAGUGAAUCAUCGAAUCUUUGAACGCACAUUGCGCCCGCCAGUAUUCUGGCGGGCAUGCCUGUUCGAGCGUCAUUCAACCCUCAAGCACAGCUUGGUGUUGGGACUCGCGUUAAUUCGCGUUCCUCAAAUUGAUUGGCGGUCACGUCGAGCUUCCAUAGCGUAGUAGUAAAACCCUCGUUACUGGUAAUCGUCGCGGCCACGCCGUUAAACCCCAACUUCUGAAUGUUGACCUCGGAUCAGGUAGGAAUACCCGCUGAACUUAAGCAUAUCAAUAAGCGGAGGA